AAAAUUUGCCGAAGCUGUUUAUCCACUGGUGUUGUUGGCGGGUCUAUGGGCUUGUUUGGAGAGUUGAAUGUGGACAUUUGAGACAGUGUACGAUUUAUCGGUGCUUCAUGCCAACGAGCUUGUCGGAGACAUUCGCCUCCAUCUAUCGCAUAUUCUGGGGAUGGUGAUUCUGGGACAGCGUACUUGGUUGUGAGUAUACUGUUUGAGCGUAAGCCAAGGGAGAAGAACUCUCAGUGUAACACCUCUCUGUUUUAUUUUUUAGGCAUGCGAUAAGGACGAUACCGACCUUCUGAAUGAGUAUUAUCUGCCCUGUGUUUCGCCAUACGACUUUGUUCGCGCUGUGCCUCAUCAACUGCUGUUCUGUUUGGGUUCUGUUUUGUGUGUGCUGUUUCGUUACGAGUGAGUCGUCUCGAGUGAACCGUUCAAGUGAACCAUUUCAAGUGAACCGUCCUAAGUGAGCCAUUCAAGUGAACCAUUUCAAGUGAAUCGUUCUAAGUGAGCCAUUCAAGUGAACCAUUUCAAGGCCUGGGCACCCGGGGGCAGACGAGAGAGCAAUUAGGUGGUAGGGUCCUCACUGUGUGUCGUGGUCUUCUCUGACAUGAGUCGUGGAGUGUGUGCUGUGCUGGUGUUUGUGCACUGAAUAGAGUACUCUUCAUAGAGGUGAUACCUCGAGACUGCCCUUGGGUAAGCCCAGGUUUCCCUGUCGCCCACUCAAGAACCUAGUAAA